GCACUUUACUUGUUGUUUCACUUUAAACUGCUGGGAAACCAGCUGCGGGGGAAGAAGUGUUCACAUCCUUUACUGCAGUAAAAGUACUGACAGCACUCUGUGAAAAUACUCCACUGCAGUAAAAGUCUGUGAGUAUUAUCAGCAACAUGAACUUAAAGUGGCUGAUUCAUGUCUGACAAUUCAAUUCAGUUUUAUUUAUAUAGCGCCAAUUCAUAACAGGAGUUAUCUCAUUGCACUAGAUAUAAUUGGGUAUCAUCUGCAUAGCAAUGGAAGUUUAUGGAGUGUUUCCUAAUAAUACUGCCUAGAGGAAGCAUAUAUAAGGUGAAUAGAAUCGGUCCAGGCACAGAACCUUGUGGAACUCCGUGACAGUAAAAGUAUUUGCUGUAAUUUGUUGUCUAUUCACCUUCUCCUCUCUUAAUGGCCAUCUCUUUGAACUGCAUCAGUGUUCUUCGUCUUUCUUUUGAUGGCUCCCUCUUGUCUCUUGUCUCCUGUGCUUCGUCUCUUUCCACUUUUUAACAGCUCUGUUAAACUCAAACUGCUCUGAAACGAGCAUCAGCUUGGUGAGGUUUGUAUUGCUCAGUGAAUUUCUGAAUUAAAUUUUAAUUGCUGUUUUUUGUGCUGUGUUCACAUGACAAACUUUACAGGAGAAGUUUGUCAGUAGGUUUUCAAGUUUCUCUGCACUGGAGAGAGAAAUUCGAGUACUGUUUUGCCAAAAUGGUGUUUUUAUUUUUUUGGAAACGGUGAACUAUGACAGAAUAUCCAUUGUGUCAGCAGUAGGGUUGGGUACCAAGUUAUUAUAUCAGUAUGGUACAACGGUGCCCUUUUUAGGUACUUUACUCUCUUUGUAGAUCACCAUUUAUUUCCCUAAUCGAUUUCCGAUUUGAUUCAACAUCGAUUCGGUUAGAAAUAUUUCAGUAACAAUACCAGUGUUGCUUGGAUAUGAAAGAGAUUCUCAGAGAACUAAUGCUGUAAAAUGUACAAGGAACCCUCUGACCUGCUGCAUUAUUAAAAAUAUUAAUGUUUACAUCAAGAAUUGACCCUUUAAAUCACCUCUAACAGAGCUGAUGUUUCCACUCAGACCCCCCAGGGUUUCCCCAACCGUUACUUAAUAAAUAAAUAUAUAGAUAUUAAGGAAACAACUUGACAUUUAAGGUUGAAAUAAUGUCCCUUAAUCAUCAAGUGUUGCACGUCUAAAUGUUGAGCUGUUAUUUCCGCGUUAAAAGAAAAGAAGAUAGAUUCUAACAAGGAUCGUUUGAUGAUUGCUCGCUCAGUCAGUCAGGUGCGCCCGGGAACCUGUAUACCUGAAUGGCAGAUUUUCGCUCGACUCACAAAACCUCCGUGAUACUUGUAAGUUAGCAUAAUAUGUUGUAGAACCGUAGCGUUAUUCACGCUUCAAUACCGUGUUGUUAUGUGUCAGCAUUUAUACGCACUGUUUGUGAACUUCCUUCGUCUUACGUUCGGCGCACCUAUGUGCAGUUUUAGCUCAGAAAGAGUUCAUCAAGCUCGCAGCACAACACGUGAAUGCAGCCAGAUCUGUAAAGCUUCCCCAGGUAUUCGAGUAUCGCACGCCUUCCGAUCCACGGAGCCCAACUCGCUGCACUUGGCGGCCGGAGAAAGCUUCUCCUGGAGUGGAGCAACAAACAUUGGUGGCUGGGGUCCCGCCGCAGGUCUGGGGAAAUCGGCUACAUCCCAGCCUCAUACAUCAGAAAAAUACGGGUAAACACCACUUUCAAACCGGGACAUCAAGGCAAGACGCCUCCCCAACACUGGACUCUCCUAUGAACAAAUGUUAUUUAAUUUUCGUAACGGCCAGAUGCCACAACGCUUCCUUUUCUAGGCUGCUGUAUGAGAAAUGCCAUCAGAGUGGCGACUUGAAGUUUUGUAACAUCAGCUGGUAAAAGGUGCAGCACUGUACAUUUUUACAAAUCGAGCAGCUUAUUUCACCGUUAAGUUCGAGCCGCUGAUAUAUUCUGAGCCAGUUUGCCUGAAACUGGUCUUUGAACUGCUGCUUCUUAAUAAUGUUACCGUUACCUGUCAGAAGGUCCCUGCUCGGGGGGUUGUACUUUUCAGAAGUACUGGGGCUUUCGGGGUGGGGCUUGCUGCGCUGAACAUUUCUGAUUGGUCGAGCUCCGUCUGGCUGGAUGCGUUGCUGGGUCCCAGGCCGGCCUUCUCUGGCCCAGUGGCUCGGCUGUUGAAGCAGUGGUGGAAGACACCGGAUGACCAGCCGGUUGAAGCGUGUUUUUCAGAUGAAGCGGCGGUAAAGUGAACUGGCGGCUGCAGACCGGUGUGUUUCCUCCUGCGACACCAGCAGCCCUCGUGUCUCCUGCUGAAGCACUCAAAUGCUGUAUUUUACACAUUUAUAUUAAUAAAUAGCUGUGGAACUAAAUGUG